GUAACAUUUUGACGUAUAACCUCACAAACAGUUAUUGUUCUUUUUGUUCAUAUUUUUAUUAUACUUUCAAAAAAUGGACGAAAAACCCAUUGAUACUAAUCUUAAUAAGAAAAGGCAUAUGAAAAAGUGUAGAAAUCUCUUAUCAAAUGCUAAGAAAUAUAGAAAAGAAGGUUAAAUGGGACGCGGCUCGAAAAUACUGCAAAACUUUAUCAAUAUUUUGUUGGAAUUCUGGAAAUUAAAAGCAAGGAAUUGAAGAUUCUGACGAACGAAAGAUUUUCAGAAGGUAGCAUUGUCUCAGUAUGGUUCUAGAGUCUCAGCAAAUCUUUGAAGCAUUGUCUCCAGAGCAGAAGGUCAAAAUAAUGACAGAGCUAUCAGAUGAGAGUAACUUAUUGAACAGCAACAACACAGCAGGCUGAUAGCAGUCAAGCUGAACCUCAACACAUUGUGUCACCGAAGAGGUGGGAAGAGGCAGGAAGAGAAUUGAUAAAUAUAUGAUUUGUAUCAUU